rnacentral:sRNA from 1 species
CACUGAUGAUAACCGGCACGGGCGUGGGAAUUUCUCCACGCCCGUGCACGCAUGUUAAGGGCAGGAACACCAGU